rnacentral:rRNA from 1 species
AACGAACGCUGGCGGCAUGCCUAACACAUGCAAGUCGAACGAGAUCUUCGGGUCUAGCGGCGCACGGGUGCGUAACGCGUGGGAAUCUGCCCUUUGGUUCGGAAUAACAGUUGGAAACGACUGCUAAUACCGGAUGAUGACGAAAGUCCAAAGAUUUAUCGCCAGAGGAUGAGCCCGCGUAGGAUUAGCUAGUUGGGGUGGUAAAGGCGCACCGAGGCGACGAUCCUUAGCUGGUCUGAGAGGAUGAUCAGCCACACUGGGACUGAGACACGGCCCAGACUCCUACGGGAGGCAGCAGUGGGGAAUAUUGGACAAUGGGCGAAAGCCUGAUCCAGCAAUGCCGCGUGAGUGAUGAAGGCCUUAGGGUUGUAAAGCUCUUUUACCCGGGAUGAUAAUGACAGUACCGGGAGAAUAAGCUCCGGCUAACUCCGUGCCAGCAGCCGCCGUAAUAC